UGAGUUAUAUGAAAGUACCAAGUACUGGUGAAGACGUGGAUAAACUGGAACCCUUUUGCAUUGCUGGAAGGAAUGUAAAAUAGUGCAGCCACUGUAGAAAAUAAUAUGGUGGUUUCU